GUCCACGCUGUAAACGAUGGGCACUAGGUGUUCGGGGUAUUGACCCCCUGAGUGCCGCAGCUAACGCAUUAAGUGCCCCGCCUGGGGACUACGGCCGCAAGGCUAAAACUCAAAGGAAUUGACGGGGGCCCCGCACAAGCGGUGGAGCAUGUGGUUCAAUUCGACGCAACGCGAAGAACCUUACCUGGGCUAGACAACAUCGGACAGCUCCAGAAACGGAGUCUUCCCGCAAGGGACCGGUGGUUCAGGUGCUGCAUGGCUGUCGU
rnacentral:rRNA from 1 species